AGCAUUAAAACAAAGAUAUUGAGCAAGGAGGACCCUGAGCAAGCCAUCGACCGAAGAAGGAGUAUCAGGAGCUGGAGUAGCCAUCCGAGCCAGAGGAGGACAAGGUGGGGCCUCCUGUGAAUGAGAAAUUACAAAUCUGCAGGGUAUUCGAACGUCUGUCAACCCCAUGCUGAUGUCGGUGGUGUUUCCUUUUAGUUGUUUUCAACAGUCUGGCUUCGUCUAGUUGUCCGAGGUCCUAUGACCAGUGUCCGAUGUCCUGCUGCUGUGUCCCUGUGUGUUGUAUGUGUCACUUGGGCUAACUGUGCUACACACGGCACCGUGAGAUGGGUACUACAACCUCAUGCUGUCCUUCUCCCUGUCCCUGUCCAUGUCCAUGGCCAAAGCCAAGUCCAAGUCCAGCUGGUAACAUGUGACGAUGGCAAUUUGCAUUUCAGCGGGAUGCAGAGAGCGCCACUCUGCGGAGGGGGAGGCAGCCAGAGUGGGGGCCGGGCUGUCAGGACACAGACAACGCCAAGUAAUCCCCCAAAGAGAACAUUUAACAUACGGACUUCCAGACCCAGAGACAUGCAAAGUGAUUGAGUGGGGACCGGGACUGGGACUGGGACUGUAAUCGGAACAUGUGUAGAGAUAUUUAUUUAACAAACAUUGCGAAAUAUCAAGAGCGAUACCAGAGGCACGCAGUGGCAGUGGCAGUGGCAGUGGCAGGAAAGGAAAAGAAGGGCAAACAGGCGAAGGACAUCGAAGGGAAGGCACAACGACAAUCGAAAUGCGAAUGGAAAAGGAGAUGGGCGGAACACGAUGGCAAAUCAAAGGUGAAAAGAUGUGAAAAGCAAACGGAACGUGCACCGGGAGCAUUUAACCCAUACCCCAGCUUCGAGCAGAGCCCGGGCACCGGCCCGGACCCAGACCCGGACCCGAGACCGUACCCAUUUCCAUUCCCAUAGCCAUAACUCCUCCCGGAGCCGGGAGUAAGCCGCUGUUGGGACACACAUGACGUAUUGGCACGAGUCCCUGAGAAGCGAGUUGCGAGGUCGCAGGAGCUCUGUUCUGUGUGCUCUACCGGCUCCGGCUCCAGCUCCGGCUCCGGGGCACUUGAAAGCCCGGGCGUAUCUUGAUUGUUUGCAUGUAAAUCUGCACAAAAUCCCCAAAGUACCCAAGUACCUAGAGUAUCCAAAGGAAGAGGAGACAGAGACAGAGAGAGAGAGAGAGAGAGAGAGAGAGAGAGAAAGUCCUUGUCGACUGCCACCGCCAUCGCCAUCGCCACCACCUCCGCUAUCCAUCCGACAACUGGCUCUAUGGAUGGAGCCGUCCCCGUAUCGUUACCCUGAUGGAGCCGCUCACCAUCAUCAUCAUCGUCAUGAUGGCCUUGGCGCAUCGCUUCCCAUCGCUCUGUAUCGCUCAGCAUCUCACGGCAUCGGCAUCGGCAUCGUGGCAAUCCCUUGCACAAUUGAACCGAGUCCUGUGUGGGCGAGUUACCUGCUUGAACCGAUCUGUGCCGACUCUGGGAAUACCCUGCAGACACUGCAGAUAUUUACAUAUAUUUGGUAGCUAUAUACAUACAUGUACGACAU
rnacentral:sRNA from 1 species